AGANGANUCCCAAUUGAUUCUUAGUGCUUGCACUAAGAUGAUUUUGGAUCCGACUGAGUGGCGAACUGGUGAGUAACACGUGGGUAACCUGCCCAGAAGAAGGGGAUAACACCUGGAAACAGAUGCUAAUACCGUAUAACAACAAGAACCACAUGGUUCUUGUUUGAAAGCUGGCCUUUGUGCUAGUGCUUCUGGAUGGACCCGCGGCGUAUUAGCUAGUUGGUGAGAUAAUAGCUCACCAAGGCAAUGAUACGUAGCAGACCUGAGAGGGUAAUCUGCCACAAUGGGACUGAGACACGGCCCAUACUCCUACGGGAGGCAGCAGUAGGGAAUCUUCCACAAUGGACGAAAGUCUGAUGGAGCAACGCCGCGUGAGUGAAGAAGGGUUUCGGCUCGUAAAACUCUGUUGUUAGAGAAGAACAGCCGUGAGAGCAACUGCUCACGGUAUGACGGUAUCUAACCAGAAAGUCACGGCUAACUACGUGCCAGCAGCCGCGGUAAUACGUAGGUGGCAAACGUUGUCCGGAUUUAUUGGGCGUAAAGGGAGCGCAGGCGGUUUAUUAAGUCUGAUGUGAAAGCCUUCGCUUACCGGAGAAGUGCAUCGGAAACUGAUAAACUUGAGUGCAGAAAAGGAUAGUGGAACUUCUGUGUAGCGGUGAAAUGCNUUAAUNUUUUUAANGAACCCNAUUGCNAAGGCGGCUAUUGGUCUGUACUGACNCUGAGGCUCGAAACAUGGGUGCAAACNGANUAAAUCCCUGGUANU
rnacentral:rRNA from 2 species